rnacentral:rRNA from 1 species
AUUGAACGCUGGCGGCAGGCUUAACACAUGCAAGUCGAACGAGUGGCGGACGGGUGAGUAAUGCUUGGGAAUCUAGCUUAUGGAGGGGGAUAACUACGGGAAACUUUAGCUAAUACCGCGUACCAUAGGCUGAGCCCAAGUGGGAUUCGGUAGUUGGUGAGUUAAAGGCUCACCAAGGCGCCGAUCUCUAGCUGGUCUGAGAGGAUGACCAGCCACACUGGAACUGAGACACGGCCCAGACUCCUACGGGAGGCAGAAGUGGGGAAUAUUGCACAAUGGGCGCAAGCCUGAUGCAGCCAUGACGCUGGUAUGAAGAAGGCCUUAGGGUUGUAAAGUACUUUCAGCGGGGAGGCGUUACCCGCAGAAGAAGCACCGGCGAAAUCCGUGCCAGAAGCCGCGGUAAUAC